rfam:Merops nubicus contig97334, whole genome shotgun sequence.
GCUCUAAUAGUUUAAGAAAAACACUGGUCUUGUAAACCAGAAACUGAAGAAUCCGACCUUCUUAGAGCU